GAGAGCCAAACCUGGAGGUUCUGGAAAGGGUGUGCCUCCAAAUGCAAUGUCCAAAUUGAAGAGCUGUGUUCAACUCAUGUCCGCAGUGUUCCCUUCUGGCCCCUCUGGGAUGAAGAGAACCAAUGCAGGGCUGUUGGUGACUUUGUCCUACUCAUGUGGGAGCUCCUGGUGGGAUAAGGAUGGAGCAGAGCCACCCACCAGGCACCGUCCUUAGGGCUGAGCAUCCUAACACCCCCAGCUGGGAGCUGCACUUCAGGAUUGUUCAGUCUGGAGGAGGCUCAGAAGAGACCUUAUUGCUGUCUACAACUGCCUGAAAGGAGGUUGUGGCAAGUGGGGGGAUAAGAGAUGAUGGCCUUCAGUUGCACCAGAGGAGGUUCACGUUGGAUAUUAGGAAACAUUUUAC
rnacentral:lncRNA from 1 species